rnacentral:tRNA from 1 species
GAACGUAUAGCUUAGUGGUCAGAGCGCAUUUCCAAAAGGCACGGGUUCAACUCUCGCUACGUUCA